GGGUUGUGAGGUUAAGCGACUAAGCGUACACGGUGGAUGCCCUGGCAGUCAGAGGCGAUGAAGGACGUGCUAAUCUGCGAUAAGCGUCGGUGAGGUGAUAUGAACCGUUAUAACCGGCGAUUUCCGAAUGGGGAAACCCAGUGUGUUUCGACACACUAUCAUUAACUGAAUCCAUAGGUUAAUGAGGCGAACCGGGGGAACUGAAACAUCUAAGUACCCCGAGGAAAAGAAAUCAACCGAGAUUCCUCCAGUAGCGGCGAGCGAACGGGGAGGAGCCCAGAGCCUGAAUCAGUGUGUGUGUUAGUGGAAGCGUCUGGAAAGGCGCGCGAGAUCG
rnacentral:rRNA from 1 species